CAAAAAGCAGGGCUCUGUGGUUACAUGAACAAAGCUCACGUAAAUGUCAGGAAAAUCGAAUUGGUCAUCGUGAUUGGGUGAACCUACGUUUCUUCUAUUAGCUAAUGGUUCAGUACAUGAUGGUACAUUA
rfam:Brassica napus, WGS project CCCW01000000 data, contig: 22168